CAAAGUUGGACACUUAACCAACUGAGCCACCCAGGCGACCCGGCCAUACUUUUCUAUGAUUCUCACUCCCCUUAUUGUCAUCACUACUGUUACUCUAUUGUUACCUAUCAUGUAUGGUCACUGUGGCUUUCAUACUCUUCUUUAAACACUUCAAAGCCAAUAAUACAUUCACUGCUUCUUCAGACUGGGUAGCCUUUCCCCAGAAGGCUGCAUGAAUGUGUGUGACUGCAUGCUGGAUGCUUAUUAACAUUCAGGCAUCUGGCCACAUGUCACCGCCUUGUCUAAACUAGCCACCCCGUCAUCCUCUACCCCUUUAGUCAGUUUUAUGCCCUCCCCAGAGCCAUUUCUAUCAGGAAGUAUACUAUUUGCCAAUUUGUUUCCUUGUUCAUUAUUUGUUUUUUCCUACUAAGCUGUCACCCCAUGAAAACAGAGCCCUAGUCUGCCUGGGGACGGCUGCAUGUCACAGAGUAGGUGCUCAGGAAAUACUCAUUGAAUGGAGAAGUGUAUUUGUUUUUGUUUUGUUUUGUUUUGUUUUGUUUUGUGUUGCUUUGCUUUUCCAGACAAAGGGCAUGGGAGACAGUACACCUCAGUCUCUUUAGCUUGGGAUCGUGUUGAAUUUUGUCUUCUUCAUUGCACACCAGUUGACUGGCACAGGAUUCUAAUAUUUAAGUGCCACUCCCCUGCAUGUGCAUAAUGGAGAUAAUAAAGGUACUCAUUUCAUGGAGUUUUUAAGGGCACUAAAGGAGAAAUGUACACAAAAUACCUCUCACCAUAGCAGACAUGUAGGUAGCUAGUGUCCAGGAAAUGCUUGCUAUUAUAGUUAGUCACUCACACAACAUGGAGGGGACUUCCUGAGUCUCAGUUUCUCCUCAGUGUCCAAGGCAGGUAGUAAUCCCUGCCCUACUUAUUUCACAGGGCGAUAUGAGGAUCAAAAGACAGCACGGAAUUUGAAAACAGUAGAGUGUUGUGAGAAUAUUGUGAUUCUUUCUUGCUAUGCCCAAGAAAGACCCCCUUUAAUUAAAAGAACCUGGAAAGCAGUAUGUCCUGUAGGCAAACAGACCUGGAGCUGUCCUGGGUGGAACAGACCACCCUAGGCUCAGAUCUCCACUCUAGUAUUUACCGGCUGUGUGGUUUUGGGCAAAUCACAAGCCCCUCUGAUCCUCAUCUUCAUUGUUACUGCUGUUCAUUCUGUAAAGUGAUGAUAACACCUAUUUCAUGGGGUUGCUGUGGGGAUUACAUGGAAGGGAAUACACGAAGACCCACUUUUGCAUUUUUCACAGAAGUGGGUAUUUAAUAAAUGAUACCUAUUAAUAUUAUAUUUGUAUGAAAAGGAUUGGCAAGCCGUGAUUUAGAACAUUCUCUUUCCAAUUUCCCAUCAUCAAAAUAAUCACACUUCUCACAUCCUCACUGGCAGAUUUCACAGCUAGUGCGUUCAGGAAAAGUUAUUUAUUUGAAUAACAAAUUCUUUGCCCAAUUCCCCAAACUGCACAUUCCAGCAGGGUUAUUAUAGGUGGACAGAGUGGGGUGGAUUGAGGAGAUGUGGUGAUGGGGGUCAGAGAGCUAGCACGUGUGGGGCCCUUGCUGUGUUCCGGGCACUCCUUCAUUCAUCCUCGUCUUACAGAUAAGAAAGCAGAAGCCCAGACAGGCUAGGUAACUUGCUCAAGGCCACACAGCUAUCAGAGGCAGAGGCCAGAUCUGAGUCAGCAGCCUGAUUUCAGAAUUUGUUGGUGUUAGUGCUCAAAUGGAACAGAGGUAUUUGGGGAUAGCUCUUUGCUUGAGCUUGCCUCAGGCCUCUAAUGUGUCACUUUUCAUGGGUAUAGGUUCCUUGCUCACAGUGUGUGCUUGACUAAUGCAUUCUGAAUGAAUGAAGAAUCAGCGAAUAAACACAGGAACACACGUAGUCUUCUGAAGACCCCUGUAAACAAGCCAUUCAGUAUGCCAUGAGACUAUACACUUUAUAAGUGUGUAAGAGUGUGCUGUGCACAAGACUGUAAGGGAUCGUAAAGAGAACCUAUCAUUCACUUUCAGCCCAGAACUCUAGGUAAUGCUCAAUCUGAGCAUCUAUUCUUGGCAUAUGUUUCCUUCUGUUAAUUAUAUUAAUAUAUGUGGAAGGCUGGCUAGCCCCCACCAAACCUAGACUGUAUUUCCCAGCUCCUUUUGCAUCAAAGUGUGCUCUGACAUGGAUUCUUGCCCACAGACUGUGACUGGAAUGAUGAAUGGCACUUUCUGGUUGUGGUGAUUGAGACGUAGGUGUGUGCCUUCUCCCUCCUUUCAUUUUCCUCAUCUGCUGGCUGAAGGCAGGGGAUCCAGAAGCCCCAGAGGGUGAGGACAGAGCCACAAUGUGGAAGGAGCCUGGAUCCCUGGAAAACUACACACCAACUACCAACAAUUGGUGUUGGAUGUUCUCAUGAGCCACACAACUUUUAUUGAGGGAGGCCACUGAAAUUUGGGGAUUUAUGACCGCUUUUCGCAUAAUUUUACUCAAAAGUCCGAUUCCUUCUGAAUGAUCUCAUAUCCUUAUACGCAUUUAGGUAUACAGGUUGGUCUGUUUUAUUGUUGAUAACUUGUGAACGCAUAAUUAAUAAAAAGUAGAGGCAUAAGAAGGAUGCCGCAGAAGUUCCUUCUCCCUCUAAUUAAGGUAUAGAAAUAGUCUUUAUAAUUUACAAAGCAGAUUUACCUGAUUAUCUAGCUCUUAUAAUUUAGUGGUGUAGUUAUUACUAAACAGGGGAGGAAAUUAAAGUCCAGCUAAGGACUUUCCCUCAGGUCACCCAGAUGGCAAUUCAGGGGCUGUGUGGGGACUCAAACCAUGUCUGUCUGGCCAUGUAUCCUCUGCUUUUUUGUCACAAUGCAGUAACAAAUGUGCCAUUCUCCGUGGAUAAGUUCCCUUUCCGUAAAUAUGGUGUGUAAGAUGGCUUUGACAAGCGUCCUGUCCUUUCCUUCUUUACACCUUUGUCUCUGCCAGGGUUUCUUUGGGAUGGAGUACUCAAAGCUUGUGAUUAAAAACAGCUGCAGAAACAAGAGGAAAACAUCUUCUAAAAAUAGGUAGCGCCUUGGAACACAGUGUGCCAGGACUUUUAGGAGGUGGAUGGGGAUGUGCCAUGGAGAGCGGCCACAGGCAGAGCUCUGGUUUUCCGCACAAGGUGACUGUUUCUGUUGUGAGCUGCUCCCCGGAGACUCCGUGAACUCGAUCUUAGGACCAGGGGCAGAAAACUUGGACUUAUCUUUCACUAAGGAAUGUGAACACUUCCUUCAGGAAUUCAAACUGCUUCUAAGGUAGAAGUACAAUGAGAAGACACCCAUCUGCAAACCAGGAAGUGGGCCCGCACCAGACACCAGAUCUGAUGGCACUUGAUCUUGGACUUCCCAGCCUCCAGAACUGUGAGAAGUAAAUGUUUGCUGUGUAA